rnacentral:misc_RNA from 1 species
UUGCCUCCUUUCUUGAACUUGAAUAUUGGGAUUGACCUUAUCACUGACUCGUCCAGUCCACGAGUUUCCAUUGCAGGAGAGUAGCCCAUUAAAGGGUCUUCAUGAUUUCGGUUUCUUGAUAGAGAGAAUCGCCUGAGAAGAUCGAUGCGGUGCCAGUUGAGGCAGCAUUUGAUGACAAAGAUGUAAUAGCUAACUAGCAAGAAAGCUGUUGCUAAAAUUCCUAUGAUGGCUAUGGCUAUAAUGGGGAAACUUGUGUCUGAAGAAUGAGAAUGAGGGGCAAAGAUUGAGCUACCAGUAGGACUUGUGAUUGGGGGAAUAGAGCUUUUGCUUACAAGAUCCAUGAAAUGGAGCUUUUAGAUCUUGAACUAAUGUAAAACAACAUGCAAAUAAAUUAUGCAAGAACACCAAGGAAUACUAUAACCAAUUCUAUGAAAUAACUUGAAACACAGCGAAAUGAAAGAAACAGAAAAC